CACUGUUACGGAGGUCCGGGGGAAGCUCGGCGUCCUAGUCUUCCACUUCCCUUUGCGGGUACGUACGUACUUGUAUUGCUUAGUUUGCUUGCACUAGUGCUGGUUAACAAUUUUCUUCAAAUAUUGGAUUAGUCUAAGCAGAGAGUGCAGAAAAUAGAAACAAAAAAGUGUAUUAGAUACAAAUUAAUUAGCAAUUUGGCAAAUAAUUACAGUAUGCAAUCAUUAGGAAAUUUCAGCUCGAGUACUUGCUAAAAGUAUUUGUUAAUGCAUUGCUUAGUUUGCACAUUAAGAUUUUAAGUUUUAAGUUGAUUGAUUAGGGUUAAAGACUUAGAUUUUGGCUGUUGAAACUUGGCAGGCAAGAGUAUCGUGUGAAAUUUUGGUAAACAUGAUGAAUCAAACAAUAUUUCGUCACAAUUGUUAUGAGGUGAGCACACUUGACUUACACGGAUAGAUUUCAUUCGAUGUCAUAGCCGAGGAGAUAAACCAGCCUUCUGCAAUAAUAUUUUGAUUUUCUCUUGCUUUGCCAGUGAGGAAUUCGGGCACCUGCGCAUUAUUGCUUCAAUAUAUAGAAGAGGUUAUUAUGUGUACCAUGUAAUAUUUACACUCACUAGGGUAAAUGAGCUAGCUUUUCUUGUUAGGUAUGUAUACGGUAAAAGAGCUCUGCUGUGGAGAUGUGAAGUUUGAAAAAUGCACACAGUACUGCAUG
rnacentral:lncRNA from 1 species